AAGAGAAUGUAACCAUAGUAACCAGUUA
rnacentral:sRNA from 1 species